AGUUUGAUCAUGGCUCAGAGUGAACGCUGGCGGCGUGCUUAACACAUGCAAGUCGAACGAGAACGGGCUAUAGCUUGCUAUAGUUGUCAGCUAAGUGGCGCACGGGUGAGUAAUGUAUAGGUAAUAUGCCUCUUACUAAGGGAUAACAAAUGGAAACGUUUGCUAAUACCUUAUACUCCUUAUUAACAGAAGUUAAUAAGGGAAAGAUUUAUUGGUAAGAGAUUAGCCUGUAUUGUAUCAGUUAGUUGGUGGGGUAAUGGCUUACCAAGACUAUGACACAUAACUGGUUUGAGAGGAUGAUCAGUCACACUGGAACUGAGACACGGUCCAGACUCCUACGGGAGGCAGCAGUGGGGAAUAUUGCACAAUGGACGAAAGUCUGAUGCAGCAACGCCGCGUGGAGGAUGACACAUUUCGGUGCGUAAACUCCUUUUAUAUGAGAAGAUAAUGACGGUAUUAUAUGAAUAAGCACCGGCUAACUCCGUG
rnacentral:rRNA from 1 species